rnacentral:lncRNA from 1 species
GGAAGACUCACUUGUGAUUACUGCUGUGUGAAAAACAACUCUUGUGAUAGAUCUUGAAGGGUAGAAAACAUGACAGGGAACAGGGGAAUUACAGAAGCAUCCUCAGCAGAAACACUGUAAGAAUAAGAUGGAAAAGUUGAAGACAAAGUGAGUCAUCUCAAGCCCAUCAUCACCAGAAAAGAAAAUUUGGUGACCAGCCUUGUCCUGCAGAACAUUAUAGAAGAGGGAGCACCAAGGGAAUAGCACUGCUUGCCAUCAUCAGCAAAUCCAGACCUGAGUGUAUGUUUCUCCAAGUUCUGCCAGAAGCUCAGCGGGGAGAAGUGGUACUAAGGGGCCUACACUUUCCGUCUGCCUGUAGUUACUCCACAUUUAGUAUUGAAACAUGGUAAGCCUUUAAAAAGUGAACUACAUGGAAAACUUUUCAUUAUACUUCUUUUUAAAUUUUUUUUUUAUUUAUUCAUGAGAGACACAGAGAGAGAGGCAGAGACAUAGGCAGAGGGAGAAGCAGACUCCAUGCUGGGGACCCCAUAUGGGACUUGAUCCCAGGACCCCGGGAUCAGGACCUGAGCUGAAGGCAGAUGCUCAACUACUGAGUCACUCAGGUGGAGAAACUUCCGUUCUAAAAAAUAACCAGGGAGAAGUUGAAAGAAGCUACAUUGGAGUUUGCUGAGCCAGUUGCUAGAAUGAACUGGAAAAACUACUAUUUUUUAUUGAAAACUAAAUUCCCAAGGCCAAUUAAUGUACCAAUAUGUUCUAAUCCAUUUAUGUUUCAAUAUGAGACAAUAUUAACUUUUGCAUCAAAAAUUUGAUUCCUAAAAAAUUCUCCUAUUGUUAAAAAUCUAAGUACAUUUUCCUUAUUAUUUGUUAUAAUUGUGCUUCUUAUAGAAGCACUUUCAUGGUAUAAUAUUACCUUUACCUAUAUAUUUCAAAAGAGUCUGCUACGAGAUUCUCAGUUGUUUUUAGGUAGAGAAAGAAGGGUGCAGAGGAGGGGCAGGAUGGCGGAAGAGUAGGGUCCCCAAGUCACCUGUCCCCAACAAAUUACCUAGAAAACCUUCAAAUCAUCCUGAAAAUCUACGAAUUCGGCCUGAGAUUUAAAGAGAGACCAGCUGGAAUGCUGCAGUGAGAAGAGUUCGCGCUUCUAUCAAGGUAGGAAGACGGGGAAAAAGAAAUAAAGAAACAAAAGGCCUCCA